rnacentral:lncRNA from 1 species
GACCUUGAUUGCUCGCAUAGUGUUAUUGUGAUUCUUAAAUCUUACACUUGCAACUUGAACUUAGUUAGCAAUUGCAACUUUGCUAGUUGGACAAAUUUAUAGCCGUAUUGUUUUAGUAUAUGUAUUGUUUGAAUAUGAUUGCCUUCUGUAUUUGAAGAUGCCAAAUCAAAUGUUAUCUUUUUGAGAUAAUUUUGAUUUUCUCAUUUGUUCAUGACCCCUUCUGUAGGUGAUUGUUACAGUUGUAGCACAUAGAAAUAAAGUUUGAUUUUAUUUAAAACUUGUAUCGCAUAAAUUUUCAGUUACAACUUCCAUUGAACCCAUGCUUCCCUGAAACAGUUGUGAUUGUCACUUGCUAAUGACCCCUCCCCUUGGUGACUAGUAUAUUUGUAUCUCUCAAAAACAUACUGAAUUUCUUGUCUCUUGAGCUCCUUUAUUGAAAACAGAAUACCGAAUGUCAUUUGUAUCUACAGUUUGUUGUUUUGGCAUAAUUUUUCACUUUGUUUCUACAGUUUCUAAUUGUCUCAUGUUCCCUUCUUGUAUCCAUUUAUCUUUAUUGUGGAACUGUUGUUGAUUGCCUGAGUUCUUAUGCUUCUAGGCACAACCAUUACUAGUGGAUGUAAAGAAGCUGAAAUGUUAGGAUGACUGUCUGGUUCGAUAUGCUAAUGUGCUGAAACGGUUCAACAGGUAAGAAUAUCUUCUGAUAUAGUUUCAGAAAUUUUUAUGAUUACAAACACUAGUCACAUCUUUCAACUCCCCCACCCAACAUUUUCAUGUAAAAAGGCCGAAUGAUCUAUUUGUUGUCAUCGGUAUUCCUAGGAGAUAUAUGAAGUAAUGUGAUAUACCUCUUUUUUGAGGCGAUGCAAUAUAUUCCUUCUUUAUGUUGAUGAGCUUAUCAUCAGUUUUUACACACUUGUUGUUCAUACACUGUGUUACAUAGGUGCCGCUAUUAUGUUUUAUCUUUGUCUGUGUCAGUUUACCAACAGAUUAAUGAUUUUAUUUUCUCUAGGUGAAGAAAGGGCUGCUGCAGUAGUUGGUUGUCACUUUGUCACAUCGCAUCAGUGUGGUCAGCGGUGUUUAUAUGUUAUCUGAAUUUUUUUACCGUGCCUUUUAGUCUAGCCAAGCUCCUUAUAUAGCAAGAUGCUUUGAAUAGCUAAUCCAGGGAGUUUGAGGUUCCCUAGUUAGAUUUCAAGACGUUUUUACUGCAGGGUUGUGCUUGGCAGCUCUUCUCUCGAGCCAAAAGAGUUUUGUGUAGCGUUUAGAGUUUCUGAGAUGUUGUUUAAAUGACUGAUGCUGAAGGAACUAGAACCCUGAAACUGAGAUUGUUGGUGUUGGCCGCUGCCACUUGCUAAAACUGUGGUGGUGUUCUUAGUUUCCUGUGAUGGACUGUCGUUUCUGUGAUUGUUCGUUUUUGUUAGUUUUUUU